CCGCAGUUCUGUGAUGGACUGCAAUCAAUCCCUGACGUGCAGCCGCCGAAGAGGAGGUUCAUGCUGACCCGGACGGAUCCCAACCGCAGUCAAGUAGAGAAGAGGAGGAUGCACAACAAGCAGCAGAGCCCAACAC